rnacentral:rRNA from 1 species
UACGUAGGGGGCAAGCGUUGUCCGGAUUCAUUGGGCGUAAAGAGCGUGUAGGCGGCCAGGUAGGUCGGUUGUGAAAACUGGAGGCUCAACCUUCAGAGGUCGACCGAAACCAUCUGGCUAGAGUCCGGGAUAGGAGAGUGGAAUUCCUGGUGUAGCGGUGAAAUGCGCAGAUAUCAGGAAGAACACCCGUGGCGAAAGCGGCUCUCUGGAACGGUACUGACGCUGAGACGCGAAAGCGUGGGGAGCGAACAGG